rnacentral:rRNA from 1 species
CGUUCCCGGACCUUGUACACACCGCCCGUCAAGCCAUGGGAGCCGGGGGUACCUGAAGAUGGUGACUUCACUGGGAGCUAUCUAAGGUAAGACCGGUGACUGGGGCU